GCGGAUGUAGUUCAGUGGCAGAACACCGGCGUUCCACGUCGGGGACGCUUGUUCGAUUCAGGCCAUCCGCU
rnacentral:tRNA from 1 species